rnacentral:rRNA from 1 species
UACAGAGGUCUCAAGCGUUGUUCGGAUUCAUUGGGCGUAAAGGGUGCGUAGGUGGCGCUGUAAGUCGGGUGUGAAAUUUCGGAGCUUAACUCCGAAACUGCAUUCGAUACUGCGGUGCUUGAGGACUGGAGAGGAGACUGGAAUUCAUGGUGUAGCAGUGAAAUGCGUAGAGAUCAUGAGGAAGACCAAUGGCGAAGGCGGGUCUCUGGACAGUUCCUGACGCUGAGGCACGAAGGCCAGGGGAGCAAACGGG